GACGAACGCUGGCGGCGUGCUUAACACGUGCAAGUCGUACGGUAAGGCCCUUUCGGGGGUACACGAGUGGCGAACGGGGGAGUAACACGUGAGUAACCUGCCCACAACUUUGGGAUAACGCUAGGAAACUGGGGCUAAUACUGGAUAUGUGCCCCUGCCGCAUGGCGGGGGUUGGAAAGCUCCGGCGGUUGUGGAUGGACUCGCGGCCUAUCAGCUUGUUGGUGGGGUAGUGGCCUACCAAGGCGGCGACGGGUAGCCGGCCUGGGAGGGUGACCGGCCACAUUGGGACUGAGAUACGGCCCAGACUCCUACGGGAGGCAGCAGGGGGGAAUAUUGCACAAUGGGCGCAAGCCUGAUGCAGCAACGCCGCGUGCGGGAUGACGGCCUUCGGGUUGUAAACCGCUUUCAGCAGGGACGAAGCUUUUUGUGACGGUACCUGCAGAAGAAGCACCGGCUAACUACGUG
rnacentral:rRNA from 1 species